GAUGAACGCUGGCGGCGUGCCUAAUACAUGCAAGUCGAGCGAACGGACGAGAGGCUUGCUUCUCUGAUGUUAGCGGCGGACGGGUGAGUAACACGUGGAUAACCUACCUAUAAGACUGGGAUAACUUCGGGAAACCGGAGCUAAUACCGGAUAAUAUUUUGAACCGCAUGGUUCAAAAGUGAAAGACGGUCUUGCUGUCACUUAUAGAUGGAUCCGCGCUGCAUUAGCUAGUUGGUAAGGUAACGGCUUACCAAGGCAACGAUGCAUAGCCGACCUGAGAGGGUGAUCGGCCACCCUGGAACUGAGACACGGUCCAGACUCCGACGGGAGGCAGCAGUAGGGAAUCUUCCGCAAUGGGCGAAAGCCUGACGGAGCAACGCCGCGUGAGUGAUGAAGGUCUUCGGAUCGUAAAACUCUGUUAUUAGGGAAGAACAUAUGUGUAAGUAACUGUGCACAUCUUGACGGUACCUAAUCAGAAAGCCACGGCUAACUACGUG
rnacentral:rRNA from 1 species